rnacentral:piRNA from 1 species
UGUUUCACAUUACUGUUAUCA